UUGAAGGCUGUACUUGAAAAAAAAAAACAUGAAUGCAAUAUUUUCCUCUUUACGAGCAAGAACUUAGGUGAUAAAAAUUGAGGUUUCUUGCUAAUCCUUAGAGGACAUUUGAUGCUGUUACAAAACGUGCCUGUGACUACAAGGUGCCCAGAUGCCUUGGUUACAGGCACAGUAUGGGACUGUAAAUAGCGCAGAGUUGCACACUCCUCCAUACUGCAGCUAGCUAAGGCACUGGGAGACCAGGCAAGUUUUUGUUAACUUCUGCCCACAUCCUGCUGAUCUUUAGCACUUGGGCAGAUCACCAUUAACAUUUUAUCAUUGUUGCACGCUCUGAAACAACUGCCCUUAAGAUCACAGUCCUGUUUACAUUUUUAUUGACCAAAACUCAAAAGUAAAUAUUGUGUCACACAACGUUCAUAAGAAGAGUUUAAAUAAUGAACUAAUUCAACCUGGCACAUAGCAGUUCCAGCAGUUAUCACAGGGAAACAGAGCUGAGGAGACAGCACCACUUCUUCAUGUACUUACAGGGACAUGAUGACAGUGACAGAACCUUUCUUUUGGCUGACUGCAGUUGUACGGUGCUAUUAAGUACAGGAGAAGUUUUACUCUGUGUCCUGAAGAAUUAGAGCAUGUUUAAAAGAUGUGGUGCUCACAGACCAUGCAGAGCUUCAACGCAAUGUCACACUUGUGAAAUAGAGUGAGCAACAUACACACACUGAUUCCCACGCAGAAGAGCAGCUUGGAAUAUUAGAAGCUUCUUCUAAUCUUAGGGACCAUUG